ACUUUCCUUAUUAGGGCAGAGUCGAGUGCCCAGAGCCGGCGGCCGGGCGAGGGGUGGGGCGGGGAGCCCGGGGGCCAGACGGCCGAGGGCGCAAGCACAGCCUCAGCCGCAGCCGCCUCCGAGCGGCAGGAGGGAGCAGUCGGUCGCUGCGCCCCGGCGGGCCACUUUCCCGGGACCCCGCUCCUCUUCCUUGUGCCGAGAUUUUCCACUGCGCCCCUCCUAGCACCCGGGUCCCAAACCCCCAGCCACGACAUGGAAGAAUUUUUGCAACGCGCCAAAUCUAAACUGAAUCGAAGCAAACGCUUGGAGAAGGUCCAUGUGGUUAUUGGGCCUAAAUCAUGUGACUUGGAUUCUCUCAUUUCGACCUUCACAUAUGCUUACUUUCUAGACAAGGUCAGUCCACCAGGGGUUCUGUGUUUACCAGUGCUGAACAUACCAAGAACUGAAUUCAACUACUUCACCGAGACGAGGUUUAUUUUAGAAGAGCUAAAUAUUUCUGAAUCAUUCCACAUAUUCCGGGAUGAAAUUAACCUGCAUCAACUAAAUGAUGAAGGGAAGUUAUCAGUAACACUUGUUGGCGACAACGUGCUGGCGAGUGAAGACAAAACUUUAGAAUCAGCAGUUGUCAAAGUCAUUAAUCCGGUUGAGCAGAGCGAUGCCAACGUUGAGUUCCGAGAGUCUUCCUCUUCCCUCGUGCUGAAGGAGAUUCUCCAGGAGGCUCCUGAGCUCAUCACCGAGCAACUGGCUCAUCGCCUCAGAGGUAGCAUUCUUUUCAAGUGGAUGACCAUGGAAUCAGAGAAGAUCUCAGAGAAGCAGGAGGAAAUUCUUUCUGUCCUGGAAGAAAAAUUUCCUAACUUACCUCCAAGAGAGGACAUCAUCAACGUCCUACAGGAGACCCAGUUCAGUGCUCAGGGUUUAAGUAUUGAACAGACAAUGUUGAAAGAUCUAAAGGAACUGUCUGAUGGAGAAAUAAAAGUGGCCAUUAGUACUGUGAGCAUGAACCUUGAGAAUUGUCUGUUUCACAGCAAUAUUACCAGUGACUUGAAAGCAUUUACAGACAAGUUUGGUUUUGACGUCCUCAUCCUGUUCGCCAGCUAUCUGUCAGAGGAGCAGCAGCCGAGACGACAGAUUGCUGUGUACUCAGAAAACGUAGAGCUGUGCAGUCAGAUUUGCUGUGAGCUAGAAGAGUGUCAGAACCCUUGCCUAGAACUGGAACCCUUUGACUGUGGCUGUGAUGAGAUCCUGGUGUACCAACAAGAGGACCCUUCAGUGACUUGUGAUCAGGUGGUUCUCGUUGUCAAGGAAGUCAUCAACAGGAGGUGUCCAGAGAUGGUCUCCAACAGCCGGACGUCCUCAACAGAAGCCGUGGCAGGCAGUGCCCCCCUCUCCCAGGGGUCUUCUGGGAUUAUGGAAUUGUAUGGUUCUGACGUAGAGCCACAGCCCAGCUCUGUGAAUUUCAUAGAGAACCCUCCAGAUCUCAACGAUUCUAACCAGGCUCAGGUGGAUGCCAACGUAGACCUCGUUAGCCCAGACAGCGGACUGGCUACCAUUAGGAGCAGCCGCUCAUCCAAGGAGAGCUCUGUUUUCCUCAGUGAUGACAGCCCCGUGGGAGAAGGUGCUGGGCCUCACCACACCCUCCUCCCAGGGCUUGACUCCUACAGCCCCAUCCCUGAAGGGGCGGUUGCGGAGGAACACGCAUGGUCUGGAGAACAUGGUGAACACUUCGACCUCUUCAAUUUUGACCCAGCACCCAUGGCUUCUGGCCAGUCCCAGCAAUCUUCUCAUUCUGCAGACUACUCCCCAGCGGAUGACUUCUUCCCCAACAGCGACCUGUCAGAAGGACAGCUCCCCGCUGGGCCUGACGGACUUGAUGGCAUGGGAACCAACAUGUCUAAUUAUUCGUCCACUUCACUUUUGUCGGGGGCUGGCAAAGAUAGCCUUGUGGAAUAUGAUGAGGAGUUUGUCCAGAGACAAGAAAGUCCCAGAGAUAACUCUGAAAGAAAUUUGAGCCUGACAGAUUUUGUGGGAGAUGAAUCCCCUUCCCCAGAAAGGCUAAAAAAUAUUGGAAAGAGGAUCCCACCAACACCCAUGAAUAGUUUAGUAGAAAGCUCGCCAUCCACGGAAGAACCAGCCUCACUCUAUACAGAAGAUAUGACCCAAAAAGCCACUGACACAGGUCACAUGGGGCCACCUCAGACCCAUGCACGGUGCAGCAGCUGGUGGGGUGGUUUGGAAAUUGACUCCAAAAAUGUUGCAGAUGCGUGGAGUUCUAGUGAACGGGAAUCUGUUUUCCAGAGCCCUGAAUCGUGGAAAGAGCAUAAGCCAAGCUCCAUUGAUAGGAGAGCCUCAGAUUCGGUAUUUCAGCCAAAGAGUCUCGAAUUCACAAAGUCAGGUCCCUGGGAGUCUGAAUUUGGUCAGCCUGAACUGGGUAGCAAUGAUAUUCAAGACCAAAAUGAAGAAAGCUUGUCAUUCCAGAACGUGCCCAUGGAGAAGCCACCUUUGCCAAAUACAUCUCCCCAAGGAACAAACCACCUGAUAGAAGACUUUGCUUCUUUGUGGCAUUCUGGUCGCUCUCCCACAGCCAUGCCCGAGCCCUGGGGAAAUCCUACAGAUGAUGGUGAACCAGCAGCUGCGGCGCCAUUCCCAGCCUGGAGUGCGUUUGGUAAGGAAGAUCAUGCUGAAGCGUUAAAAAAUACCUGGAAUUUGCACCCAACAAGUGGCGAGACACCUUCUGUUAGGGACCCGAAUGAGUGGGCCAUGGCAAAAGGUGGAUUUGUCUUUUCUUCUUCAGAACUACUGGACACUUCACCCAGUGAGAUAAAUAAUGAAGCAGCUCCAGAAAUCUGGGGCAAGAGGAACAAUGACUCCAGGGAUCACAUCUUUGCACCUGGAAAUCCCAGUUCUGAUCUGGAUCAUACAUGGACUAAUUCUAAGCCACCAAAAGAAGAUCAGAAUGGUUUAGUGGAUCCUAAAACUAGGGGCAAAGUAUAUGAAAAGGUAGAUUCCUGGAACCUUUUUGAGGAGAGUAUGAAGAAAGGAGGGUCAGACGUCCUAGCUCCUUGGGAAGAUUCCUUCUUAUCUUACAAAUGCUCUGAUUACAGUGCAUCCAACCUAGGAGAAGAUUCGGUGCCAUCCCCCUUAGAUACCAAUUACUCCACCUCAGACUCUUACACAUCACCAACAUGUGCUGGAGAUGAAAAGGAAACUGAACACAAGCCAUUUGCUAAAGAGGAAGGUUUUGAGUCAAAAGAUGGUAACUCCACGGCAGAGGAGACUGACAUUCCACCUCAGUCACUGCAACAGCCAUCUCGAAAUCGAAUCAGUUCAGGUCCUGGGAACCUAGACAUGUGGGCUUCACCUCAUACAGAUAACAGUUCUGAAAUAAAUGCCACUCACGACCCGGAUGAAAAUGAACUCAAGACAGAGCACACAGAUGGUAAGAAUGUCUCCAUGGAGGAUGACGUAGGGGAAAGCAGCCAGUCCAGUUACGAUGACCCCAGCAUGAUGCAACUGUACAAUGAAACAAACCGACAACUCACACUUCUGCACAGCAGCACCAACUCCCGGCAGACAGCGCCUGACAGUCUCGACUUGUGGAACAGAGUGAUUUUGGAGGAUACGCAGUCCACAGCAACGAUCUCAGAUAUGGACAAUGAUUUGGACUGGGAUGACUGCAGCGGGGGUGUGGCACUCCCCACUGACGGUCAAACAGAAGGAUACAUGGCUGAAAGUACCGAGCCAGAAACCCGAUUUACAGUGAGACAGCUGGAACCCUGGGGCUUGGAGUAUCAGGAGGCAAAUCAGGUAGAUUGGGAGCUCCCUGCCUCUGAUGAGCAUACCAAGGACAGUGCUCCCAGUGGACAUCACACACUGAAUGAGAAAAGUGGGCAGCUAAUUGCAAACAGUAUUUGGGAUUCUGUCAUGAGAGAUAAAGACAUGUCGUCGUUCAUGUUACCAGGUUCCUCAUAUCUCACAGAUUCAGAGCAAAGCGAAUUGCCUUCUGAAAUCCCCAGCCAUUCAGCAAAUGUUAAAGACACUCACUGCCCAGAUGCGCCAGCAGCUUCUGGAACCAGUGAGUCAGGGGCACUUAUAUCUCAUCUUGACAACCAGGAGACAGAGAGGGAAACCCUGCAAAGUGAUGCAGCAUCCUUGGCAACUAGGCUUGAGAAUCCAGGGCAUUUUGCACACCCAGAUCCAUGGAAAGGUCAUAGCAAUGGACAAAGUGAAAGUGAGAAGGAAGCCCAGGGAGCCACCAACAGGGAGCACCUCGAUGAAGAGGAGGUGAUCGCGUCUGGUGUGGAGAGUGCCUCAGGGAUUUCUGAAAAAGGGCAGAGUGACCAGGAACUGUCUUCUCUGGUUGCAUCUGAACAUCAGGAAAUCUGCGUUAAAUCAGGCAAAAUCAGCUCUCUUGCAGUCACUUUCAGUCCUCAAACCGAGGAACCAGAGGAAGUUUCCGAGUAUGAGAAGGGGUCUUACAAUCUAGACUCCCGUGAUGUGCAAACAGGGAUGUCUGCAGAUAACCUGCAGCCAGAAGACACCUAUGAACAGAACCUCAUGAGUCAGAGAAAUUCAGGUGAAACUACUGAGACUUCAGAUGGGAUGAAUUUCCCAAAAUAUGUAUCUGUACCAGAAAAGAAUCUUGAGAAAACUGAAGCAUGUAACAUUCUAGAGCCAGAGAAUGUGGGUGGAGGGGGACCUCACAAAGUUCCCCAAAGCCUUGACUUUGGGGAUGCUCCUGUAGACAGUGUCGUGCAUGUCAGCUGCACAAGUUCCGAGAUAACCAAAAAUCUUGAUGUUAAGGGGACUGAAAAUAGCCUUCCAGGAGCCAGUUCAUCUGGAAAUUUUGACAGAGAUACUAUUUCUAGUGAGUAUACUCAUUCAAGUGCAUCAAGUCCUGAGUUAAAUGAUUCUUCAGUUGCGCUGUCUUCCUGGGGCCAGCAACCCAGUUCUGGGUAUCAGGAAGAGAACCGAGGCAAUUGGAGUGAACAGAAUCACCAAGAAUCUGAACUAAUUACCACUGAUGGCCAAGUAGAAAUAGUUACCAAAAUGAAGGAUUUAGAGAAAAACAGAACAAAUGAGUUUGAAAAGAGUUUGGAUCGCAAAACUCCUACAUUUUUAGAGAUCUGGAAUGACUCGAUUGAUGGUGAUUCCUUGUCCUCUUUGUCUAGUCCUGAAACAGGCAGAUAUUCUGAGCAUUCAGGGACACGUCAGGAAAGCAAUCUCAUCGCUAGCUACCAGGAGAAAAAUGAACAUGACAUUUCUGCAACUGUGCAGCCAAAGGAUGCCAGGGCCAUUUCAACAAGCUCAGGUUCUGACGAUGACAGUGUCGGUGGUGAAGAGUCAGUGGAGGAAGAGAUCCAGGCGGCCAACUGCCAUGUUGCUCAGGAUGAAUCCAGGGCUUGGGAGUCACUGAAUGAAUCGAAUAAGUUCUUGGUCACAGCUGAUCCUAAGUCUGAAAAUAUUUAUGACUACCUAGGCAGCUCAGAGCCAGCAGAGAAUGAGAGUAAGUCAAACCCAUUCUGUGACAAUCAGCAAAGCAGCCCUGAUCACUGGAAUUUCUCACCGUUAACGGAGACUGAAAUACAGGUUCCAGCAGUGGAGAAGGAGAUGAGAUCUUCUCCAGAAACAGGGAAGACAGGAGAUGUUGCAUGGCAAAUAUCUCCCAAAGCUGAACCAAAGAACGAAGAUAAUUCUCAACUGGAAAUGCUGGGCUUCUCAGCUGAUAGCACUGAGUGGUGGAAUGCCUUACCCCAGGAAGGGAGACUAAUUGAGAGUACAUCUGAAAGGGAGCUGUCUGAUCCCAGUGAUGUGUUGGAGAUAAAUUCUUCCGUAUAUCAAAAUGCCAGUCCCUGGGGAGUACCAGUUCAGAAUGAUAUUGAGCCCGUGGAAACACACUAUACUAAUCCUUUUAGUGACAACCAUCAGUCACCCUUCCUGGAAGGUAAUGGGAAGAACUCCCAUGAGCAACUCUGGAACAUUCAACCAAGGCAGCCAGACCCAGAUGCUGACAAAUUCAGCCAGCUUGUAAUAUUGGACCAAAUCAAAGAAAAGGACUCAAGAGAGCAAACCUUUGUGUCUGCUGCUGGUGAUGAGCUGACUCCUGAAACACCGACCCAAGAGCGGCGUCAGGACGCCAUGCUGUCAGUCUGUGAUCAGCCAGAUGCAGCCUUUACUCAUGCAGAGGAAAAUGGUUGUGUUACAUCUAAUGUUUCAACAAAUGAAGGUCAAGAAACAAAUCAGUGGGAACAAGAAAAAUCAUACCUGGGUGAGAUGACACAUUCAAGCAUUGCCACAGAAAAUUUUCCUGCUGUCAGUUCUCCCACCCAACUGAUAAUGAAGCCAGGCUCUGAAUGGGAUGGCUCUGCCCCAAAUGAGGACUCCCAAGGUACAUUUGUGCCAGAUAUUUUACAUGGCAACUUUCAAGAGGGUGGGCAGCUGGCCUCUGCCGCGCCUGACUUGUGGGUGGAUGCUAAGAAGCCCUUCAGUUUGAAAGCAGAUGGUGAGAAUCCUGAUAUCCUGACACAUUGCGACCAUGACAGCAAUUCUCAGGCUUCCAACAGCCCUGAUAUAUGUCACGAUUCUGAAGCAAAGCAAGACACUGAGAAGCACCUCGGUGCUUGCAUGGGACCUGAAGUGGAAUCCAGUGAGCUUUGUCUCACUGAGCCAGAGAUGGAUAAAGAACCCAUUCAUGAGCCUGGACAGGAGUUUGUCCCAUCCGAUGCAGAACUCGAUUCUGAAAACGCAACUCCGCUGCCUCCAAUUGGCAAUCAGGCAGACAUAAAGGGCUCCUCUCAGCCCGCCUCUCAUAAAGGUUCACCUGAACCUUCUGAAAUAAAUAGUGAUGACAAUACAGAUUUACAAGCAUCAGAAAAAGGAGCCAGCCCAGAUAUGGCACCAAUUUUGGAACCAGUUGACAGAAGAAUCCCAAGGAUUGAAAAUGUGGCAACUAGCAUUUUUGUAACUCACCAAGAGCCAACUCCAGAAGGCGACAGUUCUUGGUUAUCAGACAGCUUUUCUCCUGAAAGUCAGUCUGGUGCAAGAGCUUUGUUUGAUGGUGAGCCACGUUUAUCCACAGAGAAUCCUGCCAUGGUUCCUGAUGCUUUGCUAGCCUCAGACACUUGUCUGGAUAUAAGCGAAGCUGCCUUUGACCACAGUUUCAGCGAUGCCUCAGGUCUCAACACAUCCACGGGAACGAUAGAUGACAUGAGUAAACUGACAUUAUCCGAAGGUCAUCCUGAAACGCCAGUUGAUGGGGACCUAGCGAAGCAAGAUAUCUGCUCAUCCGAAGCCUCGUGGGGUGAUUUUGAAUACGAUGUAAUGGGCCAGAAUAUCGAUGAAGAUUUACUGAGAGAGCCUGAACACUUCCUGUAUGGUGGUGACCCUCCUUUGGAGGAAGAUUCUCUGAAGCAGUCGCUGGCACCAUACACACCUCCCUUUGAUUUAUCCUAUCUCACAGAGCCUGCCCAGAGUGCUGAAACAAUAGAGGAAGCUGGGUCUCCAGAGGAUGAGUCUCUGGGAUACAGAGCAGCAGAGAUAGUGCUUUCUGCGCUUCCUGAUCGAAGAAGUGAGGUAAACCAGGCUGAGACCAAAAACAGACUGCCUGGAUCCCAGCUGACUGUGCUGCAUAUUCAUGAAGACCCUGAGUCCGUUUAUUUGCCUGUGGGAGCAGGCGCCAACAUUUUGUCUCCAUCAAGCAUUGACUGGGAAGUAGAAACAGAUAAUUCUGAUUUACCAGCAGGUGGAGACAUAGGACCACCAAAUGGUGACAGCAAGGAAAUAUCAGAAUUGGAAGAAGAAAAAGUAAUUCCUACCAAAGAGCCUGAGCAGAUAAAAUCAGAGUACAAGGAAGGCAGAUGUACAGAGAAGAAUGAAGAUCGUCAUGUACUACACAUGGAUUACAUACUUGUAAACCAUGAAGAAAAUUUACAUUCAAAGCCAGAGGCCUGUGAAGAAAGAGAAAGCAUAGCUGAAUUAGAAUUGUAUGUAGGUUCCAAAGAAACAGGGCCGCAGGGAACUCAGUUAGCAAGCUUCCCAGACACAUGUCAGCCUGCCUCCUUAAAUGAAACAAAAGGUAUCUCUGCAGAGAAAAUGUCUUCUAAAGGCGAUACGAGCUCAUCUUUUGAAAGCCCUGCACAAGACCAGAGUUGGAUGUUCUUGGGCCAUAGUGAGGUUGGUGAUCUAUCAUCAGGGCCUGGGUGGUCUGGCAAGACUGUGGAGCCAUUCUCUGAACUCAGCUUGGGCGAGGGUCCCCAGCUGCAGAUUCUGCAAGAAAUGAAGCCUCUAGAAUCUUUAGCACUAGAGGAAGCCUCUGGUCCAGUCAGCCAAUCACAGAAGAGUAAGAGCCGAGGCAGGGCUGACCCGGAUGCAGUUAUGUUGCAGGCUGUCACCCAUGACAAUGAAUGGGAAAUGCUUUCACCACAGCCUGCUCAGAAAACCAUGAUCCGUGACACGGAAAUGGAGGAGGAGACAGAGUUCCUUGAGCUCGGAACCAGGAAACCAAGACCACAUGGACUACUGUCAGAGGAUGUAGGAAUGGACAUCCCGUUUGAAGAGGGGGUGCUGAGUCCCAGUGCUGCAGACAUGAGGCCUGAACCUCCUAAUUCUCUGGAUCUUAAUGGCACUCAUCCUCGGAGAAUCAAGCUCACAGCCCCAAAUAUCAAUCUUUCUCUGGACCAAAGUGAAGGAUCUAUUCUCUCUGAUGAUAACUUAGACAGUCCAGAUGAAAUUGACAUCAAUGUGGAUGAACUUGAUACCCCCGAUGAAGCAGAUUCUUUUGAGUACACUGGCCAUGAAGAUCCCACAGCCAACAAAGAUUCUGGCCAAGAGUCAGAGUCUAUUCCAGAAUAUACGGCCGAAGAGGAACGGGAGGACAACCGGCUAUGGAGGACAGUGGUGAUUGGAGAACAAGAGCAGCGCAUUGACAUGAAGGUCAUCGAGCCCUACAGGAGAGUCAUUUCUCACGGAGGAGAUUCAGGAUACUAUGGGGACGGUCUAAAUGCCAUCAUUGUGUUUGCCGCCUGUUUUCUGCCAGACAGCGGUCGGGCGGAUUACCACUAUGUCAUGGAAAAUCUUUUCCUAUAUGUAAUAAGUACUUUAGAGUUGAUGGUAGCUGAAGACUAUAUGAUUGUGUACUUGAAUGGUGCAACCCCAAGACGGAAGAUGCCAGGGCUAGGCUGGAUGAAGAAAUGCUACCAGAUGAUUGACAGACGGUUGAGGAAGAAUUUGAAAUCAUUCAUCAUUGUUCAUCCAUCUUGGUUCAUCAGAACAAUCCUUGCUGUGACACGACCUUUUAUAAGUUCAAAAUUCAGCAGUAAAAUUAAAUAUGUCAAUAGCUUAUCAGAACUCAGUGGGCUGAUCCCAAUGGAUUGCAUCCACAUUCCUGAGAGCAUCAUCAAGUACGAUGAAGAGAGAUCUUAUAAGAGAAGUGUGAGGUAAAAAUCUCCUGAUCUCCUAUUCACGCUGGAUCCUGUGUGUGUACAUCAGUGUCUUACUUGUGGGUGACCUCAACAAGCUACCAGAGCGAGAGGUCACUGUAUCAGUCUUUUGUAUGCCAUUUCCAGUCUUUGUCCUGUGUGUAAAGCUGUUGAGGUCAACCUGAUUUGCAACUGAAACCUACUAAACCAGAUACAUCCCUGACUUGGCCCAGGCUGCAAGCUCAUUUGAACUGUACCCACCAGACUGACGUGGAUGUUUUCAGCUUUAUUCAGCCAGCAUGUUCCUGAUCCCUUUGCAACUUAUACCUACCGUUUAUGAAGGAAUUUGCAAAGUAAAUGUACAUAAACACUGAAUGGGAGGAAAUGACAGUAUGUUUAAUGGAAGGAGUGUGUCUCGGGACUCCAGAAGACAGUUUUGAAAAGCACAUAUGCACCACUUUUGUUUGGCUCUGCUUUGCUGAGUGACUGUCUCAUGCUCUGCUUGCUUCUUUUUUGUUUCUUUUCCGCACCAAUAAUUUUUGCUCCUGCAGACUGGAUGAAGAACUGAGGGAAGCUUCAGAAGCAGCUAAUAUUGACUUGAAGCUGAAAGAAAAGCCCUAGUUGGCCACGCUGGAAGAAGAGGAUGCUUUUCUGGUUCAUGGUUCUGUUGAAACUUAUCUACCUGAAAGAGACAGGGCUGAUGUUACCUUUUUCCACGUUGCACUACCUGGUGCCAUUCUAAAUUUCUAAGGGGAAAAAUAGGAAGAAAGUUUGUUUACUCUUAACGUAUUUUGUGAAAUUGUGUCUACUUUCCUAUUUUGCCAAUUAUGUGCCUCAAAGAUUUUAGUUGAGCCUUAGCAAGAAAGUACGACCUUCCAUUUCAAUACUUCGUUGACACAGUGCGGUGAUAUUUUGUCCCUUACACAGGUGUUUACCAGUAAGAUACCUUUAAUCCACUGUAAAUAUUAGUGGAUUUGUUUCCAUAGAUUAGCUGGAUUACCCUUUGGUGAUUGCAUUAGGUUUAAAGGACACAGGGCUCAACUCCUCCCAGGAAAGUUACCCCUGUGUGACUCCACCUUUAAAAUCCUAAGCCUGACUAGGACAGCCAUAAACCACACAAGGUAUAAAACCGUCAUCAGCUAAGUGCCCACUUUGUUCUUGUUUACCAGAAUCUCCUUUAACUUCUCAAAGGGAAGCCGGGCUCUCUAAUCCACAUCAACUUUAUUUUAGUUGUCAGAUUGGUCAUUACAUUUUAUGUAAAUUGGUCUUUUAACAGAUCAUUUUUCUGAUGAAUGUUGGUGACCUCCACAUUGCGAAAUUUAAGAAUGAGCGUUGCAAGUUUGGUAGCUCUCUGAGCUUCAGGCCAUAAACUCAGCUCAAGAUGUUACCUUAUAAGUGCCAAGAGCUCAAGUGCAAGGUGGCCUACUCAGAAAUCAUUUGGUAGCAUUCAGUUAUCCAUGAAUUCUUCUCUCGCAUGCAUUAUAAAAAGUGAUCUGCUUUAAAACACUAUAAUCUGAUCACAGGCUUAAAAUUAAAUGUGAGUAUGUACUUUCAUGUACAAAAUAUUUCCUUUAUAGUCUUCAUAUGCGCUGUAAAAUGCCGACAAGAUUUCAAGUCUGUAGGCCUCUAGCGGGGUGGGGUGGCAAACCACAGCUAACUCUAGCUCACCACUGCAAGCUCAGAAUGGCUUUUAUAUUUUGGGUUGGAAAAAAAAUUUUUGAAUAUUUCAUGACACAUGAAAAUUAUUCAAAUGUUAGUACCCAUAAAUAAAGUGUUACUGAAACACAGCCACGCAAACUUGUUUUUGUGCUGUCUACAGCUACUUUCACACUACAACUGCAGAGCUGAGCAGUUCAACAGACCGUAUGUCCCACAAUGCCUAAAACAUGGAGUAUGUUUACAGAAAAAGUUUGCCGACCCCUGCUCUAGCAAACGCAUCCUUUCCUAGUCCACCCCAAUUCGUAUUUAGUUUCCCUAACAGAACGGACAAAUGAGGCUGCAAACUAAUUUGUUUUUGUCAAAAAUAAAUGUUUUGACAUCCACAGACAGUAAACUAGAAGAAAUAGCCUGCUGAAAAAGAUGAGGAGCCCUAGCCACAAAAUCACGGCUUAGGUUGCAGUUGUCAAAAAUGAAGCCUUCUUAGAAGCACCUCUUUAGUAUUUACAGGUGUUGCCUGAAGUCCGCACCUCACUCUGGGAACCAUUCUUAGUCUCCAGUGUCUCCUAUUACAAAGAAGCUGGCGGAAAUGAAAAUGAAGGGGAGAGAGGGGUUCCCCCCUAGUCUCUUGGUGGAAAAUUCACUGGGGAGAGCUGUCCAGGAUACUUGGAGCUCUUGGUAGAAGGAGCCUGUAACUGCUUUGAAGUAGACGUCAUUGCACAGGUGACUGAGUUUCUCUGACCUCAUUGCUUCAUGUCUGUCUCCUCCCGUCCUCCUGCAUGUGCCCCCACAUACACAGGUCGGCCCUCUUUCCUCCAUAAGCCUCCAUCGUUUUCUCUUUUCUCCUCUUGAUCGAGAUACAAAAGCGAGUAUCUUGUUGAAUUGUAUGUUCUAUUGGAUCUCCUCCCUCAUAACACCUGGCUUGUUGGACAGAAAAACCCUACAGCCCACCCUCUCCCAUAGCCCCUUCUCCACUUUUGAAAGCCCAAAUUACGCCUCUCCCAGAACACAGUGUUGACAUAAACACAGUUACCCAGUAUUCCUGUUUGUUCACCUAUUUGCUACUUUCACUCAGUAGCAUCCCAUUUUGUAAAAUGAAUUGCAUGGUCACCCUGUCACAGGAAGUAAUGAAGAAUCCAGUGUUCAGUGUAGUGGUGCAAACCUGAGGGCAUAGAGCUGUUCAUAGAGGGCUCUUGUUAUAGCCAAACAGACACAGCGACAAUCUCACCAUUUUUAUAUAUAUAUAUAUGUAUUUUUAACUUGUCCAGCUCAUCUAUGGAAAACUACUCAGGUGGUAUGCUGUUUGAAGCCUCAUCUUCCUAUAUGAAAAUUGUGGGCAUUUAUCCCAAUGAUUUUGUUGCAGCUGUUCUGUGGUCUGCAUAACCACUCUGAUAUUUAGGUAUCUGCUAUUUUAUUAUCUUAAAAAGACAAUUUAAUUGCAUGUGCUAGAGAAAAGCUACCAUGUAAAUUCACCCCAAGUAAAUAGAAUCCUAGAUGAAUCCUAGAAAAAUGAUCCCUAAGCAGAUAGGUAGACAGAGGUAAACAUUCACAGGAUUCAGCUCUCUAGCUCUUGCAUUCUGAGCAUUCUUGCUUUGGUUCUGACUUCUGGGAACUGCUUUACAUUUCCCCUAUAGAUCUGGAGUUUAAGGGAACCAAGGGGUCACUGGGGCAAAAGCAUUGUUUCUCAAAGCUCCUUGAUUAAGAGAACAGAAAUCUGCACAGAAGAUACUGUCAAGGAGUGAGAAAAUUUGUUUGAGGGCAGUAGCUCAGUGUGGAAGAAAAUCCUGAAGCUUCUGUUGAAACCGUACAAUGUUCUGUGGGGUUACUCUCUAAGGCAUUCUCUGAGGUGUGUGAGGAAGUCACUACUCAUAGCCUUUGUUCAGAUAUAAUUUUAAAUAUUCAGUUAUGGUACUAUGUUUGCAACUCUCAUCUUGUCACAAUGCCUCAGUAGUUUGUUCCCUUAGAAACACUUAGAUGUGCACAAAUUAAUCUUUUAUAUAUCUAAAGGUUUUUCUAUCAUGUAUUGGAUUGCUCAGAAUAAAGUAUCUAUGAGACUUUGUUUUGGUAAAUAAAUUCUCCCUGAUGUAGAUUAAUAUAAAAUCUGUAAUGACAUAAUAUAUCUAUAUAGCCUUGCUGUAUAAUUCAGAAAUAAAAAUUGAUUCUGCA